rnacentral:misc_RNA from 1 species
CGGGAUCCUUGUAAAAUACAAGCCUUUGCAAGUAUGCUAUUUCAUCAGCAUUAGGAUACAAAGUGCCACUAGGUAUAACAUCAUAUCGUUUUGAUAUUCUUGUUUCAGCAACAGAUAUGGGCACAUGAAUUCUUGCACCAACUUCCAUGACCUCGGAAUGCUUAAUCUUCCUCAACAAUCUAGUUUGUCCUUCCUUGCUUGUAAAUAACUCAUUUAACUCUAACUGCACGAGGCCCUUAUUAAAAUGGGAUUGGAUGACCGAGCCUG